rfam:Streptomyces cyaneogriseus subsp. noncyanogenus strain NMWT 1, complete genome.
CUUCACCGAUCCGAGCCACAGCGGCCGCUCCCGGGCGCGUCCCUGUCCGUAGGUGGCGAGCAGCGCCUGCAACUC